ensembl:lncRNA
ACAGCUGAAGAGUACCUAUGAUAAAAAAUUACAGACUUCUACAUGCUUUGUAAGUAGUAAAACCAGCAAAAUUGGCAGUGUAUCAAAUACUUGUUCUCCCCACUGUACAUUAUGACUUAAUGAGGAUUCUGGGAUAUUAAGCACACUGACCUUGAUGUGUUACAAACUAGAUUAAAAUGGGCAAUUUAGUACAAUGAUUAGAUGACGUAGAACACAAGAACCACAGACCAACUGGGACAUGAAGCCUCACCACUACUGGCUGAAAGUGUACAAACCCUCUGGACUGCAUCUUUAAGGGAAUACAGCGAUCACAUAUGUUUUGUUUAUUUAGUAACUUGAUAGAUAUGACUACACAAGUGUAUUAUAUUUAAGAUUAUUUAAUGAGAAUGCAAAACUUGACAAUUUUUGUUGGGUAUUUCAGUGUGUAUUUAUUUCAAAUUCUUACCAAAUGUUUUUGUCUGAAUUCUGUUCUUGCUGUAUGUCCUCAGAAUAACUACCUUUGCCUUACAGUUUUCUAUAGAAUCCACACACUAGGAAUGACAUUUACAGCUUUAAUGUUGUUUUGAAGCUUUUUUUACUCAGUGAAGGUACAGAAUCAGUAAACCAUCAUAUUCUAGAAGUAAAGGCAAUGUGGAGGGAUAAGGACCUUAACUGAAAAGAUUAAUUUCAUUAAUUCAUGAUUCAUUUCAAUCCAUUCAUGGGUUUUAUAAUGGACAUUUUUUUUACAAAAUAUAUAUAUAUAUAGAGAGAGAGAGAGAGAGAGAGAGAGAGAGAACUAUGCUGAGAAAUAGUGCCUUAAAACUGACGAAAGCCUAGCAUAUCAUUGUUUUAGGCGGUGUCAUCAGUGUAACUGCAUUGGAGCAUUAAAAUCAGCAAGCGGUUCCAAGCAGCUCCAGGCAUACCUAUCAUAGACUAUGCCAUUGGAUUUGCAUUAGUAGAAAUGCCAUGCAGCGUAGUUACCCGUUCAAACACGGGAAAGUGUGUUGUAAUCUAAACCUCAAUUAGGCUAAUGCACCGCCUUGGAAAAAAUAUGGUAGUGUUAUUAUUCGGAUAUAGCCUACACUUUCCUGGUGAACAGGUGGGACCACUGACCAGUUUGACAACUCAUGUCCGACAUCCCCUACACGCCAACAACAAUAUUCUGUGCAUGUUGGCGCUAUACCGGUUCAUACAGGGUUAACGCAGAAUCAGUGCAGAGACAAAACUGCAUUGAGUCUAGUUCUGGUCAUCAUUGUAGUAGUCAAAUGAUUAAUGAUGUCUAGAUCAAAGUCAUCAACAUUUCUUGUAGGGAUUUCAGAUGUUUUCAGUCACCUAGAGCAAUACGUCCUUGAGUUCAUGUAAAUCCUAAUGAAUUGUGUGUAGGCAGAGUAGUCUUUGUGGCCCAAUAAAGGGCUGGUAAAGGCCUCUAAACCAUAACCAGUGUCCCUUUGUUCCAGCAGAGUUCCAUUCAUCAUGAGCUGGCUGUGGACCUCAAUCCAGGCAUUGCUGCAGCUUUGAGGGCAAAUCUUAGAGUUCCAUGCCCACUGGCCUUCAAUCACUGGGGAUGUCGAGUUUGACAGUAGAAAGUAUUUUUCUGUCUAAAAGAAAAUAAGCGCCCUAAGCUAUGGUAGAUGAGCUGUUAGUGAGCACACAGUCCACUGGGAGAAAGACAGAGCAUGGUAACAUACUGUAAAGAGGGCAUUGUUGAGGAAGACAACACGGAGCAAUUCUAGAAACAGUUCAUGCCCAGUAUGUGAAGAUUAGAUAUUCAUGAAUUGAUGAAGGGGGUGCUGUACAGGAGGCGUGUUCCCAUGGAAGAGAUGCCUGAAGUGGUUCUAGUCAGUCGAUGAGAUCGAGCAGUGGCUGUUUGCUCACUGGUAGCCUGAAAGGAUUAAUCCCAGCCUUACAGGAAGAGGACACCAACUCUUUCUGCCUUAGCUGGAUCAAUAGGCAACAUUCUCUACAGCACCGCAGUCAAUACCCAACACUUGAGGUGUCUGAGGAAACUAAAGAAUGCCAAUAAUUGUUAUUAAUGCUUUGGAUUUCCCCAAGUACUGCAUUUAAGGGUAAUUCCAAUGUAAGACACAUUCAACCAAACAUCAUUGCCCUCGGGUAAAAUAUUGUACAUAAACAUUUGAAGAGUACACAUAAAAACAGAUCAAAAUA